AGUUAAACAGUACGUGAAAUUGUUGAAAGGGAAACGAUUGAAGUCAGUCAUACUAACGGGAAAUCAACCUCUUGAGUUUGGUCUCGUGGGUUUCGAAGAGUUUUAAAAGCCUUCGGAUUUUCGAGAUUGGGCUCUUCUGGUGUACUUUCUCGUACGGUUAGUCAACAUCGGUUUUGAAUGUCAUAAAAUGACUGGAGGAAUGUGGCUUCGAUCUCGUAUUGAAGUGUUAUAACCUUUGGUAGAUGUGAUGUUUGAGACCGAGGAUUGCAACGGAUACCCUUCUGGGCUAUUCGUCUGAUCUCUGAAACGUUGCCUUGAUGUCGAAAGCUUGCUUAUGAUGUUAGGGUAUUACGGUCAAAAGGUUAGAACGGAUUAAAUUCGUUAAGGAUGUUGACGUAAUGACUUUAAA
rnacentral:misc_RNA from 1 species